ACAUAGGGUCUGAUCCAAAACCCAUUGAAGUCACUGGGAGUCUUUCCACUGAAUUCAAUGGGCUCUGGAUCAGCCCCUAGAGGG
rnacentral:pre_miRNA from 1 species